rnacentral:rRNA from 1 species
AUUGAACGCUGGCGGCAGGCCUAACACAUGCAAGUCGAGCGAGCGGCGGACGGGUGAGUAAUGUCUGGGAAACUGCCUGAUGGAGGGGGAUAACUACUGGAAACGGUAGCUAAUACCGCAUACCAUCAGAUGUGCCCAGAUGGGAUUAGCUAGUAGGUGGGGUAAAGGCUCACCUAGGCGACGAUCCCUAGCUGGUCUGAGAGGAUGACCAGCCACACUGGAACUGAGACACGGUCCAGACUCCUACGGGAGGCAGCAGUGGGGAAUAUUGCACAAUGGGCGCAAGCCUGACGGAGCCACGCCGCGUGAGUGAAGAAGGCCUUCGGAUCGUAAAACUCUGUUAGUAGGGAAGCGGUACCUACUGAAAAAGCCCCGGCUAACUCCGUGCCAGCCGCCGCGGUAAUAC